GAGGGUAUAGCUCAGCGGUAGAGUGCAUGCCUAACAUGCACAAGGUCCUAGGUUCAACCCCCAGUACCUCCA
rnacentral:tRNA from 1 species